rnacentral:tRNA from 1 species
GGAGGUAUAGCCCAGUGGUAGAGUGCAUGCUGAGCAUGCACAAGGUCCUGGGUUCAAUCCCCAGGACCUCCA